CACGGGGGGAGCAAGCGUUGUUCGGAAUCACUGGGCGUAAAGGGCGUGUAGGCGGUUCGGUAAGUGGGAUGUGAAAUGCCCCGGCUCACCCGGGGACCGGCAUCCCAAACUGCCGAGCUUGAGUAUGGGAGAGGAUGUGGGAAUUCCUGGUGUAGCGGUGAAAUGCGUAGAUAUCAGGAGGAACACCGGUGGCGAAGGCGCACAUCUGGCCCAAUACUGACGCUGAGGCGCGAAAGCUAGGGGAGCAAACGGG
rnacentral:rRNA from 1 species